rnacentral:rRNA from 1 species
AUUGAACGCUGGCGGCAUGCUUUACACAUGCAAGUCGAACGGUAACAGGUUAAGCUGACGAGUGGCGAACGGGUGAGUAAUGCAUCGGAACGUGCCCGAUCGUGGGGGAUAACGCAGCGAAAGCUGCGCUAAUACCGCAUACGAUCUGAGGAUGAAAGCGGGGGACCGUAAGGCCUCGCGCGAUCGGAGCGGCCGAUGUCAGAUUAGGUAGUUGGUGGGGUAAAGGCCCACCAAGCCGACGAUCUGUAGCUGGUCUGAGAGGACGACCAGCCACACUGGGACUGAGACACGGCCCAGACUCCUACGGGAGGCAGCAGUGGGGAAUUUUGGACAAUGGGCGAAAGCCUGAUCCAGCAAUGCCGCGUGCAGGAAGAAGGCCUUCGGGUUGUAAACUGCUUUUGUACGGAGCGAAAAGGUCCUUUCUAAUACAAGGGGCUCAUGACGGUACCGUAAGAAUAAGCACCGGCUAACUACGUGCCAGCAGCCGCCGCCG